rnacentral:ncRNA from 1 species
AGGAGCCGGAUGAGGGAAAACUUCACGUCCGGAUCUGUGUGGGGGGUAUUGGGCAACCGGUAUUCCUACCACGAC